rnacentral:rRNA from 1 species
AGAGUUUGAUCCUGGCUCAGAUUGAACGCUGGCGGCAUGCCUUACACAUGCAAGUCGAACGGCAGCGCGGGAGCAAUCCUGGCGGCGAGUGGCGAACGGGUGAGUAAUACAUCGGAACGUGCCCAAUCGUGGGGGAUAACGCAGCGAAAGCUGUGCUAAUACCGCAUACGAUCUACGGAUGAAAGCAGGGGAUCGCAAGACCUUGCGCGAAUGGAGCGGCCGAUGGCAGAUUAGGUAGUUGGUGAGGUAAAGGCUCACCAAGCCUUCGAUCUGUAGCUGGUCUGAGAGGACGACCAGCCACACUGGGACUGAGACACGGCCCAGACUCCUACGGGAGGCAGCAGUGGGGAAUUUUGGACAAUGGGCGAAAGCCUGAUCCAGCCAUGCCGCGUGCAGGAUGAAGGCCUUCGGGUUGUAAACUGCUUUUGUACGGAACGAAACGGCCUUUUCUAAUAAAGAGGGCUAAUGACGGUA